rnacentral:ncRNA from 1 species
GGGAUGGGAGAGUUUAGCGCUUAAUGAAGCAAGAGAUUAUGAAAGAGUGUCUUUGUCUGACUGGCAAGUCAGAUGGGACACUAGCGUGAAUGGGCGUGUCACUCAUCGGUUUAUACGGGAGGUUACAUUUGCCGGCAGCCGACCAGACUUUGGGUUCGGCCUGAGUCUUGGAUUCCUGUUGACUGGUCACGGUUCCCUCAAUGCAUUCCUGCAUUGGAGGAACCUUUAUGACAGUCCAGAAUGCCGUUGUGGUUCGGCUGUUGAGACAUGGGAGCAUGUUUUCUGUGAGUGCACAAGGUAUGCAGAUUUUCGAGAUCUGAGGGGGAUGGGUAUAAGUGAGGUUAGUGGCGGGUUUGACGUAAGUCAAUCACUCUCCACUAGUGAUAGGGUUAGAAGAAUGAGUGAGUUUGCUACAGCUGCAUUUUCCAGGCGACGUUUGCAAUUGCAGGAAGGAAUUGUAUGAAUGAUGAUGGAUGGUAUAUGUGGGAAUGUGGUGGUACGAACGUGGGGGUGUGUCUGAAUGAUAAUUUUUGUUGAACAUUGUGUUGUGUUGGGGCUACCAACCCUUAACUAUUUUGGAGUUUAAAUUGGAAGUGCCCUUCUGGUACGAGGCCUGACCAGAGGCUUUUAAUCUGGUACCACGGGUAACCAGGAGCCCACGGAACUUGUUCCGUCCUGGUAAGUUGGUGCGGCCCUUCGGGGAGUAUCGUGGUGGUUGUGGUUUAACACCCAAAUGCGGGUAGAGCAUCGCUCGACGUGGCGUUGCGUCAUACAACCGGGUUCCGUGACCCAGAUUACGGAAGAGGCUUAGGUAGUCCUCGUGCCAAAUCAAGGUAGAAGUCACAACCAAACUGUCGUGUCUUUUAUUGGUACCUGCGGAAUUGAUGUUCCAAGGGGGCGGUGAUUGACGCUUGAAUUAAUCCUAUACUAGGAACCGUGAGAUUAAGCCAUCGCGGCAGGUGCUCACGUUAAGCCCACCGACUUUCAUGUCCCUAUCUACUAUCUAGCGAAACCACAGCCAAGGGAACGGGCUUGGAAUAAUUAGCGGGGAAAGAAGACCCUUUUGAGCUUGACUCUAAUCUGGCAGUGUAAGGAGACAUAAGAGGUGUAGAAUAAGUGGGAGAUAUUAGACUUCGGUUUUGGUAUCGACAAUGAAAUACCACUACUCUUAUUGUUUCCUUACUUACUUGAUUAAAUGCAACGUGUAUCAUUUCCUAGUCAUUAUACGGAUAUAAUUAUUGUCUUAUGGUAUUGGGUUUUGAUGCAAGCUUCUUGAUCAAAGUAUCACGAGUUUGUUAUAUAAUCGCAAACAAAUUCUUUAAUGAGAGAAUGCAUUUAUGUAUUAUUGAUUUAAGAAUUUGGUAUAACUCCAAUUACUCAAGUAUAAUCCAAUUCAAGGACAUUGCCAGGUAGGGAGUUUGACUGGGGCGGUACAUCUCUCAAAUAUUAACGGAGGUGUCCCAAGGCCAGCUCAGUGCGGACAGAAACCACACAUAGGGCAAAAGGGCAAAUGCUGACUUGAUCUCGGUGUUCACUACACACAGGGACAGCAAAAGCUCGGCCUAUCGAUCCUUUUGGUUUAAAGAGUAUUUAACAGAAGUGUCCGAAAGGUACAUAAGGGAUAACUGGCUUGUUGGGGGCAAACGUUUCA